AUUGAACGCUGGCGGCAGGCCUAACACAUGCAAGUCGAGCGGAUGAAGGGAGCUUGCUCCUGGAUUCAGCGGCGGACGGGUGAGUAAUGCCUAGGAAUCUGCCUGGUAGUGGGGGAUAACGUCCGGAAACGGGCGCUAAUACCGCAUACGUCCUGAGGGAGAAAGUGGGGGAUCUUCGGACCUCACGCUAUCAGAUGGGCCUAGGUCGGAUUAGCUAGUUGGUGGGGUAAAGGCCUACCAAGGCGACGAUCCGUAACUGGUCUGAGAGGAGGAUCAGUCACACUGGAACUGAGACACGGUCCAGACUCCUACGGGAGGCAGCAGUGGGGAAUAUUGGACAAUGGGCGAAAGCCUGAUCCAGCCAUGCCGCGUGUGUGAAGAAGGUCUUCGGAUUGUAAAGCACUUUAAGUUGGGAGGAAGGGCAGUAAGUUAAUACCUUGCUGUUUUGACGUUACCAACAGAAUAAGCACCGGCUAACUUCGUG
rnacentral:rRNA from 1 species